rnacentral:rRNA from 1 species
CUUGGUCAGAACGAACGCUGGCGGCGUGCUUAACACAUGCAAGUCGAACGCGAAAGGGACUUCGGUCCUGAGUAAAGUGGCGCACGGGUGAGUAACGCGUAGAUAACCUGUCUUCAUGUCUGGAAUAAUACGCCGAAAGGGGUACUAAUACCGGAUAUUCUUGCUUUUCAUAAGUUAUGCAAGCAAAGGUGGCCUCUGCAUAUGCUACUGCAUGAAGAGGGGUCUGCGUACCAUUAGCUAGUAGGUGGGUAAUGGCCUACCUAGGCGACGAUGGUUAGCGGGUCUGAGAGGAUGAUCCGCCACACUGGCACUGGAACACGGGCCAGACUCCGUACGGGAGGCAGCAGUGAGGAAUAUUGCGCAUGGGGAAACCCUGACGCAGCGACGCCGCGUGAGUGAAGGAAGGCCUUCGGGUCGUAAAGCUCUGUCAAGAGGAAAGAAGUGUACAAUGGCUAAUACCUGUUGUAUUUGACGGUACCUCUAAAGGAAGCACCGGCUAACUCCGUGCCAGCAGCCGC